AACUGAUACUACCUGCGGGAACCUGCGGAAGGAUCAUUACCGAGUGAGGGUCCCCUCUGGGGGCCCAACCUCCCACCCGUGUCUACCGUACCAUGUUGCUUCGGCGGGCGCGCCCGCGCCCGCCGGAGACCCCCUGAACGCUGUUGUGAAUAAGGUUGUCUGAGUGAGAUUGCAAACUGUCAAAACUUUCAGCAACGGAUCUCU
rnacentral:misc_RNA from 1 species